rnacentral:tRNA from 1 species
GCCGAGAUGGCGGAACUGGUAGACGCAACGGACUUAAAAUCCGUUGGUUAUUUAUAACCGUGUGGGUUCGAUUCCCGCUCUCGGCACCA